rnacentral:rRNA from 1 species
GCGUGCGAUCGUACCACGCUGGAAACACCGGUUCUCGUCUGAUCACCGAAGUUAAGCGGUGUUGACCCUGGUUAGUACUUGUAUGGGUGACAGAGACCUGGCUCACACCAGCU